rnacentral:tRNA from 1 species
GGGGAAUUAGCUCAUUUGGCUAGAGCGUUAGACUGGCAGUCUAAAGGCGACGGGUUCGAUUCCCGUAUUCUCCA